rnacentral:rRNA from 1 species
AUGAGCUUCGCUCAACAGCAUAGCUCAUACCAAAACAAUUACUCAUAUAGGUGGCCUGAAAACCCGAAUAUGUCAUAUAGGAGCAACAACCCUGAGAUCUCACCAUUUGCUUCUAGUAAUCAUAUGCAGGGAUUUAGGUACAAUGAGGAGAGCUACAACUAUGCUCCACAACAGAUUUAUUCAGCUCCUACUCAUAUACCUCAACACCAGGAGAUGUUGCCAAUGGAGUUAAAUGGUCCUCCAUUUGGUCAACCAACAACUCCAGCAACUGCUGAGCAAUCUCAUGUGCAAGUGCCCACACAAGAUGAAUUUGAUGAUAUAGACAAGCUCACAUUGCUUAGUCUCGAGUUCACUUGGAGUGCUGAGGAUGAUCCAAUUAGGCCGAUGAUACUAGAUGAAAUGAAGAAUAUCAAGAGUGGAAAAGAGCUAGUGAAUGAAGUAAGGAAGAUUGAGAAGAACAUCAACGCUGGUAGUACUAUCUCAUCUCUCCUUGAGCUGAGUGCUGCUAAGAUUUCUAGUCAUACAUGUGAGGUUCCAACACCGUCACAUUUAGCUGAGCAAGAUAGCGAGAGCCCAGAUGAAGAGAUACCUCGGAUUGAAGAUGUACUCGAAGCCAAGGCACAAGAUGAUCCAGAGCUCAAAUGCCCAAGUGAUCAAGUCGAAGACUCAUCAUCUACAACUCCUGAAGAAGUAGAAGAAGCUGUUGUAGUUGAAGAUGAAGAACCAGAAAUUCAAUUGCCUAUCAUCAUACAAGAGUGUGACAUUGCAGGUUUAUCUAAUCCUGUCAAUGGCAUGUCCCCAUAUGAAUUGUUUGCUACUACCUUGCAUUGCAUGAUGCCAUCUGUUAAAGUAGAUUUGAAAAAGUAUUUGCUUGGAUAUGAUCAUAUAUACCCUGUUAGUGGCAUUACUCACAUUAGUGAUGAUCACAGUUACUUUCCUCGUGCUAGACCUAUGCUUUAUGAAACAUAUCAUUCCCAUGCUAGUCUUGAGCUUAAUGGUAAAUAUCAUCCUCAUGUUAGUGUUGACCUUGCUGAUUUCUACCAUCCUAAACAUGUGCUUUAUAGCUAUGCUUAUGUAAUUGGAUAUUCGAUUGAUGACUUGGAGGGUAUUAUCCCUACCACUUGCAUUGUCUCUUUUGUUGUGAGUGCUUUUAGGUUUUUGCUUGUGCACGAUCCACUACAUGCUGACCAGGUUCGAGGUGACAUUCCUUGGGACCCUGGUGGACUUAGAGAAUGGGGAUGA